AGAGUUUGAUCAUGGCUCAGGAUGAACGCUAGCGACAGGCUUAACACAUGCAAGUCGAGGGGCAGCAUGAUUUGUAGCAAUACAGAUUGAUGGCGACCGGCGCACGGGUGAGUAACGCGUAUGCAACUUACCUAUCAGAGGGGGAUAGCCCGGCGAAAGUCGGAUUAAUACCCCAUAAAACAGGGGUCCCGCAUGGGAAUAUUUGUUAAAGAUUCAUCGCUGAUAGAUAGGCAUGCGUUCCAUUAGGCAGUUGGCGGGGUAACGGCUCACCAAACCGACGAUGGAUAGGGGUUCUGAGAGUAAGGUCCCCAGUAUGGGGAAUGAGACACGGACAAAACUACUACGGGAGGCAGCAGUGAGGAAUAUUGGUCAAUGGCCGAGAGGCUGAACCAGCCAAGUCGCGUGAAGGAAGAAGGAUCUAUGGUUUGUAAACUUCUUUUAUAGGGGAAUAAAGUGGAGGACGUGUACUAUUUUGUAUGUACCCUAUGAAUAAGCAUCGGCUAACUCCGUGCCAGCAGCCGCGGUAAUAC
rnacentral:rRNA from 1 species